rnacentral:rRNA from 1 species
UCCAACGUUAAUCGGGGCAGGGUGAGUCGACCCCUAAGGCGAGGCCGAAAGGCGUAGUCGAUGGGAAACAGGUUAAUAUUCCUGUACUUGGUGUUACUGCGAAGGGGGGACGGAGAAGGCUAUGUUGGCCGGGCGACGGUUGUCCCGGUUUAAGCGUGUAGGCUGGUUUUCCAGGCAAAUCCGGAAAAUCAAGGCUGAGGCGUGAUGACGAGGCACUACGGUGCUGAAGCGACAAAUGCCCUGCUUCCAGGAAAAGCCUCUAAGCAUCAGGUAACAUCAAAUCGUACCCCAAACCGACACAGGUGGUCAGGUAGAGAAUACCAAGGCGCUUGAGAGAACUCGGGUGAAGGAACUAGGCAAAAUGGUGCCGUAACUUCGGGAGAAGGCACGCUGAUAUGUAGGUGAAGCGACUUGCUCGUGGAGCUGAAAUCAGUCGAAGAUACCAGCUGGCUGCAACUGUUUAUUAAAAACACAGCACUGUGCAAACACGAAAGUGGACGUAUACGGUGUGACGCCUGCCCGGUGCCGGAAGGUUAAUUGAUGGGGUUAGCGGUAACGCGAAGCUCUUGAUCGAAGCCCCGGUAAACGGCGGCCGUAACUAUAACGGUCCUAAGGUAGCGAAAUUCCUUGUCGGGUAAGUUCCGACCUGCACGAAUGGCGUAAUGAUGGCCAGGCUGUCUCCACCCGAGACUCAGUGAAAUUGAACUCGCUGUGAAGAUGCAGUGUACCCGCGGCAAGACGGAAAGACCCCGUGAACCUUUACUAUAGCUUGACACUGAACAUUGAGCCUUGAUGUGUAGGAUAGGUGGGAGGCUUUGAAGUGUGGACGCCAGUCUGCAUGGAGCCGACCUUGAAAUACCACCCUUUAAUGUUUGAUGUUCUAACGUGGGCCCCUUACCGGGGUUGCGGACAGUGUCUGGUGGGUAGUUUGACUGGGGCGGUCUCCUCCUAAAGAGUAACGGAGGAGCACGAAGGUUGGCUAAUCCUGGUCGGACAUCAGGAGGUUAGUGCAAUGGCAUAAGCCAGCUUGACUGCGAGCGUGACGGCGCGAGCAGGUGCGAAAGCAGGUCAUAGUGAUCCGGUGGUUCUGAAUGGAAGGGCCAUCGCUCAACGGAUAAAAGGUACUCCGGGGAUAACAGGCUGAUACCGCCCAAGAGUUCAUAUCGACGGCGGUGUUUGGCACCUCGAUGUCGGCUCAUCACAUCCUGGGGCUGAAGUAGGUCCCAAGGGUAUGGCUGUUCGCCAUUUAAAGUGGUACGCGAGCUGGGUUUAGAACGUCGUGAGACAGUUCGGUCCCUAUCUGCCGUGGGCGCUGGAGAACUGAGGGGGGCUGCUCCUAGUACGAGAGGACCGGAGUGGACGCAUCACUGGUGUUCGGGUUGUCAUGCCAAUGGCACUGCCCGGUAGCUAAAUGCGGAAGAGAUAAGUGCUGAAAGCAUCUAAGCACGAAACUUGCCCCGAGAUGAGUUCUCCCUGACUCCUUGAGAGUCCUGAAGGAACGUUGAAGACGACGACGUUGAUAGGCCGGGUGUGUAAGCGCAGCGAUGCGUUGAGCUAACCGGUACUAAUGAACCGUGAGGCUUAACCUU